CAGCUCCAAUAGCGUAUAUUAAAGUUGUUGCAGUUAAAAAGCUCGUAGUUGGAUCUAGGGACGCGCAUUUCAAGCGCCCGUGUCGUCGGGUCAAACCGGCGACUGCGUUGGCGUUGCGGGCUCGGUCCGUCGGUGCCCCACAAAGGGCUACUGGCGUGUCAACCGGCCCGCCCGUCCCCUCCUUCUGGAUUCCCGUUCCUGCUAUUGAGUUAGUGGGGACGUCACAGGGGGUCAAACCGGCGGCGGUGGGUCCCUGGGGCCCAGAUCGUUUACCGUGAAAAAAAUUAGAGUGUUCAAAGCAGGCAGAUCCAAUUUUCUGCCACCGAAUACAUUAGCAUGGGAUAAUGGAAUAGGACCCUGUCCUCCUAUUUUCAGUUGGUUUUGGCAGCGCGAGGACUAGGGUAAUGAUUAAUAGGGAUAGUUGGGGGCAUUAAUAUUUAAUUGUCAGAGGUGAAAUUCUUGGAUUUAUGAAAGAUUAACUU
rnacentral:rRNA from 1 species